rnacentral:lncRNA from 1 species
GGACAAUUACUCCUACCUUGUUCCUUUUCAAAAGUUUAUUUUCCAUUCUGGGUCCUUUCCAUGUUUCUAUAAAUUUGAGAAUCACCUUAUGGAGUCUUAUAAACCAAGUCCUCUUGGAAUUUGGAUUGGAAUUGCAUUGAAUCUGUAGAUAAUCUGAGAUGAAGCAGUAUCUUUAGUGUCAUUGGGUCUUCCAAUCCAUGAAUAUGGUACAGCCUCUCCUUAAUUUAGUUGUUCUUCUUUUUUUUUCAGGUGGGUUGGGGGGAGAAGGAGCCAAUUCAAUGUCUAGUCUUUAUUGGAAAGAAGAAACUUUACAGCACAUUUUGAGCAAUUUAGUGCAGUCUCAGUGGGUCAACUGGCGGGGCACCAGAUGGUAAUGGAUUUCACAGUUAGGGCAUUGCUGCGUCUCACCUUUGUGCAGCCAAAAACUGGAGGACAGCACUGUUGUACUCUUCACAGAUGCAGCCCACUAUUCACUUGUUGGUGAUGGAGGAGACUAAAUAAGGGUCUUCUUUGGUGCCAGAAGCUUCCUUUUGGAGGAGUGUAUUCUAUGGGUCCAGUCCCUUUCAUGCAGCCAUUAUGACCUACAUCUCCAGUCCAGACACAUCAUCAUCAGUAGGAACAACACCUUCAGAUGCCAUGGACCACAUCAAGGCCACCCACUGGAACCAUGGGCCCUCAGAGUCUGCAAGGGCAGCACUCCAACUCUGUGGCAUAACCUCGAAGCCAUAUGCUCACGACAAGCAGCAGCACUUCUGGGAACAGGCUGCAGAGACAACUUGAGUUCUUCCUUAAUUUCUCUCAGUAAGAUUUAUAGUUUUCUGUGUACAGGUUGUGUACUUUUUCUUUGUGUGAACUUAUUCCUAUUUGAAACUUCAGAUGCUGUGGGAAUUGUAUCUUUUUAAAAAAGUUUUCUAACUGUUUAUUGUUGGUAUGUAGAAAUAUAUCUGAUUUGCAUACUGGUCCUUUAUCCAGCAACCUUCUUAAAUUCACUUUUUAAUUCUAAUAAUUUAUCUGUAGAUUCUUUUGGAUUUUCUAUGUAUGUAACUAUAUCAUUGGUAAAUAAUGCCAGAUUAUUUCUUCCUCUUCCUCACUCUGACAUUAUAAAAUGUCUCCUCUUUUCUAUAAGUACUUUAAAAAUAAUGAUUAAAUAAUUUAUUUAUCUGGAGUUUAUUUUGAGCAUUGAGUAUGCAGUGUGGCUCUAAGCUAAUUUUUUUCCCAGAUGGAUAUCCUGAUUUUUAUGUAACAGUUAUUAAAUAAACCAUCUUUCCUCAAUAAUUUGAAAUGAGACCUUUAUAAUAGAUUAAAUUCCUAUGUGUAUUUGAUUUCAUUUUUGUGGGGUUUUUUUGGAUCGCUGAACUCUUUUCUCUUUUAGUUAUUGUAACUUUAAAAUGUUUUAAUAUUUGGUAGAUCUUCUUAUUUAUUUUUGGAAUAUAUAUUUCUAUUCAAACAGACAUUCCAAAAGAAAAUGAAGAG